rnacentral:rRNA from 1 species
CCUACGGGUGGCAGCAGUGGGGAAUAUUGGGCAAUGGGCGCAAGCCUGACCCAGCAACGCCGCGUGAAGGAAGAAGGCUUUCGGGUUGUAAACUUCUUUUGUCAGGGACGAAGCAAGUGACGGUACCUGACGAAUAAGCCACGGCUAACUACGUGCCAGCAGCCGCGGUAAUACGUAGGUGGCAAGCGUUAUCCGGAUUUGUUGGGUUUAAGGGGUGCGUAGGCGGAGCGUUAAGUCAGUGGUCAAAUUGAGGGGCUAAACCCCUUCCCGCCAUUGAAACUGGCGAUCUUGAGUGGAAGGGAAGUAUGCGGAAUGCGUGGUGUAGCGGUGAAAUGCAUAGAUAUCACGCAGAACCCCGAUUGCGAAGGCAGCAUGCCGGCUUCCGACUGACGCUGAAGCACGAAAGCGUGGGGAUCGAACAGGAUUAGAUACCCGGGUAGUC